AUUGAACGCUGGCGGCAUGCUUUACACAUGCAAGUCGAACGGUAACAGGGUGCUUGCACCGCUGACGAGUGGCGAACGGGUGAGUAAUGCGUCGGAACGUGCCGAGUAGUGGGGGAUAACGCAGCGAAAGUUGUGCCAAUACCGCAUACGUACUGAGGUAGAAAGUGGGGGACCUUCGGGCCUCACGCUAUUCGAGCGGCCGACGUCUGAUUAGCUAGUAGGUGAGGUAAAGGCUCACCUAGGCGACGAUCAGUAGCGGGUCUGAGAGGAUGAUCCGCCACACUGGGACUGAGACACGGCCCAGACUCCUACGGGAGGCAGCAGUGGGGAAUUUUGGACAAUGGGCGAAAGCCUGAUCCAGCCAUGCCGCGUGUCUGAAGAGGCCCUCGGGUUGUAAAGGACUUUUGUCAGGGAGGAAAUCCCUAGUGCUAAUAACACUGGGGGAUGACAGUACCUGAAGAAUAAGCACCGGCUAACUACGUGCCAGCCGCCGCGGUAA
rnacentral:rRNA from 1 species